rnacentral:rRNA from 1 species
AUGCACGCUGGCGGCGUGCCUCAUCCAUGCAAGUCGAGCGCACAGACGAGGAGCUUGCUCCUCUGACGUUAGCGGCGGACGGGUGAGUAACACGUGGAUAACCUACCUAUAAGACUGGGAUAACUUCGGGAAACCGGAGCUAAUACCGGAUAAUAUAUUGAACCGCAUGGUUCAAUAGUGAAAGACGGUUUUGCUGUCACUUAUAGAUGGAUCCGCGCCGCAUUAGCUAGUUGGUAAGGUAACGGCUUACCAAGGCAACGAUGCGUAGCCGACCUGAGAGGGUGAUCGGCCACACUGGAACUGAGACACGGUCCAGACUCCUACGGGAGGCAGCAGUAGGGAAUCUUCCGCAAUGGGCGAAAGCCUGACGGAGCAACGCCGCGUGAGUGAUGAAGGUCUUCGGAUCGUAAAACUCUGUUAUUAGGGAAGAACAAAUGUGUAAGUAACUAUGCACGUCUUGACGGUACCUAAUCAGAAAGCCACGGCUAACUACGUG